UUUGAUGGCGACCGGCGCACGGGUGAGUAACACGUAUCCAACCUGCCGAUAACUCUGGAAUAGCCUUUCGAAAGAAAGAUUAAUACCGGAUAGUAUACGAAUAUCGCAUGAUAUUUUUAUUUAAAGAAUUUCGGUUAUCGAUGGGGAUGCGUUCCAUUAGUUUGUUGGCGGGGUAACGGCCCACCAAGACUACGAUGGAUAGGGGUUCUGAGAGGAAGGUCCCCCACAUUGGAACUGAGACACGGACCAGACUCCUACGGGAGGCAGCAUG
rnacentral:rRNA from 1 species